CAGUGUCCCUGGCCUCGGCAAGUAUUGUGACUAUAUGUUAAGUCCGGCCAUUCUAAGGUCUGGUUAGACUUUAUCCUUAGUCAUAGAUGUGAUACUAUUUCUGCGUGCUGAAUCAACAGUAAUCCUGACACUCAGGCACAGAAGAUCAUGGGAAGAAUUACACUGUAAUGUUGUCUUGGAAACCCCAUGUAGGGGCUUUUGCAUGAAAGGCUAUGUGUGGCCCUGAAUAAAACAGUUCAGUCGCAGCAUUCAGUCUCGACUAAUGUCUGUGGGGGAAAACUAUAUCUGCUUUGGAUUAUUGCUACCUGGGGAAUUCUACUCUUGAUUACUACUGUUCUUGGAAUUACUGCAGCAGAGCUCUGUAAAUAGGGAAAAAGACCUCCUUGUCAUCAAACUCUGUGUUCCUAUCCGGGUGGCCGCCCCAGUGAAUAACCCUGUUUGACAUGGUAGCAAAGAGGGAGGGAAGUCCUGAUGUUGUGUCAGGAUUACUGUUUGAUCCAGC